rnacentral:rRNA from 1 species
ACGUAGGGUGCGAGCGUUAAUCGGAAUUACUGGGCGUAAAGCGUGCGCAGGCGGUUCGCUAAGACAGGUGUGAAAUCCCCCGGCUUAACCUGGGAAUGGCACUGGAGACUGGCGGGCUUGAGUGCGGCAGAGGGGAGUGGAAUUCCAUGUGUAGCAGUGAAAUGCGUAGAGAUGUGGAGGAACACCGGUGGCGAAGGCAGCUCCCUGGGCUGAAACUGACGCUGAGGCGCGAAAGCGUGGGGAGCAAACAG